rnacentral:rRNA from 1 species
CGGGUGAGUAAUGCGUGACCAACCUACCCCAUGCUCCAGAAUAGCUCUUGGAAACGGGUGGUAAUGCUGGAUGCUCCAACUUGACGCAUGUCUUGUUGGGAAAGUGUUUAGUGGCAUGGGAUGGGGUCGCGUCCUAUCAGCUUGUAGGCGGGGUAAUGGCCCACCUAGGCUUCGACGGGUAGCCGGCCUGAGAGGGCGGACGGCCACAUUGGGACUGAGAUACGGCCCAGACUCCUACGGGAGGCAGCANGGU